rnacentral:rRNA from 1 species
UACGGAGGGUGCAAGCGUUAUCCGGAUUCACUGGGUUUAAAGGGUGCGUAGGAGGGCAGGUAAGUCAGUGGUGAAAUCUCCAAGCUUAACUUGGAACUGCCGUUGAUACUAUCUGUCUUGAAUGUUGUGGAGGUGAGCGGAAUAUGUCAGUGUAGCGGAUGAAAUGCUUAGAUAUGACAUAGAACACCAAAUUGCGAAGGCAGCUCACUACACAAUUAUUGACUCUGAGGCACGAAAGCGUGGGGAGUCAAACAGGA